rnacentral:rRNA from 2 species
GGAUGCGAUCAUACCAGCACUAACGCACCGGAUCCCAUCAGAACUCCGAAGUUAAGCGUGCUUGGGCGAGAUUAGUAGUAGUAUGUAAUUGAAAAAAUAUUAUUUUUUAUUUU